UGCUGUAUUAUCUGUCCGUUUUAGCUACCAACAUUGAAAUGGUCGUUGCAAAUUCAUCUUACGGAUACGUAUUGCCAUACAAAAUUCGUCCGCUGAUCGAACCGACAAAUCUGAUAACCUACAUCUGUCUUUGUCUAUAUCAAUUUAUAACAGUACUAAUUUUAAUCUUCGGUUAUGUCGGAACUGAUUGUCUAUUAAUCAGUUAGGCACUCCAUCUCAGCGGUGUUUUCUCUGCACUUUCCUCGAAAGUAAAGCACGUUUUGGGCAAUCCUGAGAAUCGUAAACGUCGAAUAAAAAAAUUAAUUUUGAGACACAUACGUCUAUUACGGUUAGCUGAUUCUUUGGAAAGUGAAUUCAACCUACUAAUUUUACAACAAUUAUUGGGAAGUACCCUUCAUCUUUGUCUUCUUGGUUACGACGCGCUCGUUUUUAUAGCGGCAGGAGAGCAAAAAAAGUUAAUCGCUUUUGUCAUAGUUGCAUGUCGUGCUUUAACCUCGGUAUUGGCUUAUUGCUAUAUCGGAGAAUGUCUUAUU